rnacentral:rRNA from 1 species
AGCUCCAAAAGCGUAUAUUAAAGUUGUUGCAGUUAAAAAGCUCGUAGUUGGAUUUCUGGUCUGAUGCCUGGCCGCACCUAUUUCGGUGUGAGUGCCGGCUGCGCGUCUGCCAUCCUUCUAGAAAACGUUCCUACCUUCGCUGGGCCGGGUUCGGGAUCUAGAUCUUUUACUUUGAAAAAUUAGAGUGUUUAAAGCAGGCU